AUAGGUUGCCUGUGGCUACGAGAUCCUACUCCAUGUGCGAGAUCAUCUAAUACGUUUAUGGAUCCUACUACACGUGCAAGGUCAUUUGCAGCUGCAUCAUGUCCUCCUGAAUGACCUCGAGGAGCCCAUUCUCUAUAUGCAAUUGAAUUUUCGAGGCUCCACUAAAUCGUGCAUCGUGGUCUUUAUCUUGUGUAGCAUGCGUAUCAUCUGUCUUAUAAAAGGUGGUCUUAUGUCCACUCUCUCUGGCCAACAAACCGAUGGCCACUGGAAUUGUUACUUUUGGUUUUUGAAUCUGAGUGAACUGACUCCUCGACACUCCAUUAGGACUGCAAGGCCUUUUAUUUUUUUUAGUGUGCUUGGCAGCUGCCGUCUUACCCUUCAUGCCACUCGUUGCCUAUUUAUCCUUCGUGCCCCUCUCUGUGUAGCUAUGUUGGAAGGAUGUAUGUCGUUCUCCUAACCGAGUCAACUGGGUAGCAUGGUGGCCUCGUCUAAGCAUCUCUUGAUCAUAUUUUUAAAAGAAUGUCUCAGACAAGAAAUCAUGUGACGAUCGGCUCUCUUGUGGUUGUGACUGAUUAGCUAAAAGGAUGCGUGGAAUAUUGCUCUCUGCCCAUUGCUCUGCAUCGAUCCUAGCCUCU
rnacentral:lncRNA from 1 species